GAACAUAAGAGUUUGAUCCUGGCUCAGAUUGAACGCUGGCGGCAUGCUUUACACAUGCAAGUCGGACGGCAGCACGAGUACUUGUACUUGGUGGCGAGUGGCGAACGGGUGAGUAAUAUAUUGGAACGUACCGAGUAAUGGGGGAUAACUAUCCGAAAGGAUAGCUAAUACCGCAUACGCUUUGAGAAGGAAAGCAGGGGAUCUUCGGACCUUGCGUUAUUCGAGCGGCCAAUAACUGAUUAGCUAGUUGGUGGGGUAAGGGCUCACCAAGGCGACGAUCAGUAGUGGGUCUGAGAGGAUGAUCCGCCACACUGGGACUGAGACACGGCCCAGACUCCUACGGGAGGCAGCAGUGGGGAAUUUUGGACAAUGGGCGAAAGCCUGAUCCAGCCAUGCCGCGUGUCUGAAGAAGGCCUUCGGGUUGUAAAGGACUUUUGUUAGGGAAGAAAAGGUUGAUGCUAAUAUCAUUAACUGAUGACGGUACCUAAAGAAUAAGCACCGGCUAACUACGUGCCAGCAGCCGCGGUAAUACGUAGGGUGCGAG
rnacentral:rRNA from 1 species